rnacentral:rRNA from 1 species
UACGUAGGCAGCAAGCGUUGUUCGGAGUUACUGGGCGUAAAGGGUGUGUAGGCGGUUCCUUAAGUUUGCUGUGAAAUCUCCCGGCUUAACCGGGAGGGUGCGGUGAAUACUGAGGGACUAGAGUACGGGAGAGGAAAGUGGAAGUUCCUGGUGUAGCGGUGAAAUGCGUAGAUAUCAGGAGGAACACCGGUGGUGUAGACGGCUUUCUGGACCGUAACUGACGCUGAGACACGAAAGCGUGGGUAGCAAACAGG